GACGAACGCUGGCGGCGUGCCUAAUACAUGCAAGUAGAACGCUGAAGGAGGAGCUUGCUUCUCUGGAUGAGUUGCGAACGGGUGAGUAACGCGUAGGUAACCUGCCUGGUAGCGGGGGAUAACUAUUGGAAACGAUAGCUAAUACCGCAUAAUAGUAGAUGUUGCAUGACAUUUGCUUAAAAGGUGCAAUUGCAUCACUACCAGAUGGACCUGCGUUGUAUUAGCUAGUUGGUGAGGUAACGGCUCACCAAGGCGACGAUACAUAGCCGACCUGAGAGGGUGAUCGGCCACACUGGGACUGAGACACGGCCCAGACUCCUACGGGAGGCAGCAGUAGGGAAUCUUCGGCAAUGGACGGAAGUCUGACCGAGCAACGCCGCGGGAGUGAAGAAGGGUGUCGGAUCGUAAAGCUCUGUUGUAAGAGAAGAACGAGUGUGAGAGUGGAAAGUUCACACUGUGACGGUAGCUUACCAGAAAGGGACGGCUAACUACGUG
rnacentral:rRNA from 1 species